CCACUUUCUUCAACCACUUUAUUCCUUCCUGGACUGUCUUCUGGAGUGAAGGAGAUAAGGUUGGGGGAAGCAUCCUAAACUACUGAGCUUCAUCCAAGCCAGUGUGGAGUCCUUGAGCCAAAGCUGACAUCAGAGAUACCCCAUGUCUCCCAGGAGUGGACAUUGGCUGGAAGCAGCCUUUAGGAAACAUGCCUCGGUACAAAUGCAGGUGGGCCUCAGAACAGUGUGGCUGGAGCGCUUGGUCAGCUAUGGCCCCUCUAGUUAGAGGUGUGUGAGAUGUAGUCUCAUGGUUACGACAGGGGCCCAGAAUGAAGGUUAUGGUGCGUGUGACAAAAUCCACUUUAAAUGCCAGUGCACAUCUUUAGUAAGAGGUCUGACUUCUAAGGGGGCANNNGCGGUCAAUCAGAAUGACACCUCUCUUAGAAGAGGAGAGUGAUCAAUACAGUAAGAAGCUCCAGGACAGACUGCAAAGGCAGGGUGACUCACAUGUGUCUCUCCUCCUCUCUCCUCACCAUUAUUCUUGCAAUCCAGACAGAAAAGGAUCCUCUGCCUUCAUUCAGAAGUGAUCUCUUCCCAGCUCCCUCACUGUGCGAGGGUAAAUUCACAGACCUUAGGAUUCUUCUGAGGCCAGGCUGUGAGGUAGUUAAAGGCUAGAAAUAUCUCAUCUGAGAUGAAUGCUUUUGCCUAGAUGCUGCCACUGUACCAAGCAGAUGGACUGGUACCCUCAUCAAGUGAAAACAACAGCCCGCAAGCCUACGUUCAUUGACUGCCAUGGGAUACAAGGCCUCCUGAAGCGCUUUGGGAAUAUGCAUGAUCUACACCAGACUGAACAGCUAGCUACAACCAUUUCCCUUUAAUAUGAAGGGACAGGAGGGAGAAAUGUUAACCUAAAACAGGUGAAUAUUAUUAUUCUUCUUCACAUGCCUAUAAGCCUCCCUUAUUUCAGGGUACACAAAAGAUACAUCACUGUUUCCUUCUAUUUCAGUCUUAGCCUUUCCUUUUCUCUUACUCAACUACCAUACUCAACCAACUCCAAAUUUUACUUAUCUUCUCUUUGACUGCUCUUCCUUCACACUGUAUUUCUUUGGAAUUUUUGCUUUAAGUGCUUUUUAAACUAGUCAUUAGAACCGUCUCCCUUGACUACUCCCUUAAACUCUCUUAGUGGCUCUGAAAACAAACCUACUGAAUAGUUUCACUCAAAUGUUAACCUGAAGACUAGAUGGCACCUGGCCUCAUACAUGCAAGCAGAGCUAAACUAGAACAAAUCUUAAAUGUCUGAGUCACCUGUACAAGAAUAAUUUCUCAACAAAUAUAUAAAAUAGGAACCAUCUUCCUUCAAAAGGGAAGCCUAGAAACUACUUUUUAAAAU
rnacentral:lncRNA from 1 species